rnacentral:rRNA from 1 species
UUGUUGGUAAGGUAAAAGCUUACCAAGGCUUCGAUCAGUAGCUGGUCUGAGAGGACGACCAGCCACACUGGGACUGAGACACGGCCCAGACUCCUACGGGAGGCAGCAGUGGGGAAUUUUGGACAAUGGGGGCAACCCUGAUCCAGCCAUGCCGCGUGAGUGAAGAAGGCCUUCGGGUUGUAAAGCUCUUUCAGCCGGAACGAAACGGUUACGGAUAACACCCGUGACUACUGACGGUACCGGAAGAAGAAGCACCGGCUAACUACGUGCCAGCAGCCGCGGUAAUACGUAGGGUGCGAGCGUUAAUCGGAAUUACUGGGCGUAAAGCGUGCGCAGGUGGUUUUGUAAGUCAGAUGUGAAAGCCCCGGGCUCAACCUGGGAACUGCGUUUGAAACUACAAGACUAGAGUGUGGCAGAGGGGGGUGGAAUUCCGCGUGUAGCAGUGAAAUGCGUAGAGAUGUGGAGGAACACCGAUGGCGAAGGCAGCCCCCUGGGUCAACACUGACGCUCAGGCACGAAAGCAUGGGGAGCAAACAGGAUUAGAUACCCUGGUAGUCCAUGCCCUAAACGAUGUCAACUAGUUGUCGGGCCUUUACGGGCUUGGUAACGUAGCUAACGCGUGAAGUUGACCGCCUGGGGAGUACGAUCGCAAGAUUAAAACUCAAAUGAAUUGACGGGGACCCGCACAAGCGGUGGAUUAUGUGGAUUAAUUCGAUGCAACGCGAAAAACCUUACCAACCCUUGACAUGUAUCGAAGCCCGCAGAAAAGCGGGGGUGCCCGAAAGGGAACGAUAACACAGGUGCUGCAUGGCUGUCGUCAGCUCGUGUCGUGAGAUGUUGGGUUAAGUCCCGCAACGAGCGCAACCCUUGUCAUUAAUUGCCAUCAUUUAGUUGGGCACUUUAAUGAGACUGCCGG